UACGUAGGAGGCAAGCGUUGUCCGGAAUUACUGGGUGUAAAGCGCGUGUAGGUGGGAGGCCAAGUCUGUUGUGAAAUCGCCCGGCUCAACUGGGCGCAGUCAAUGGAAACUGGUCACCUGGAGGACGGUAGAGGCGAGUGGAAUUCCCGGUGUAGUGGUGAAAUGCGCAGAUAUCAGGAGGAACACCGAUGGCGAAGGCAGGUCUCUGGGCAUUAACUGACGCUGAGGAGCGAAAGCAUGGGGAGCGAACAGG
rnacentral:rRNA from 1 species